CGCAAGGCUCUCACUGAAGGAGGGGUCCGCGUCCGAUUAGCUAGUUGGUGGGGUAAUGGCCUACCAAGGCGACGAUCGGUAGCCGGCCUGAGAGGGUGAUCGGCCACACUGGAACUGAGACACGGUCCAGACUCCUACGGGAGGCAGCAGUGGGGAAUUUUGCGCAAUGGGCGAAAGCCUGACGCAGCAACGCCGCGUGGAGGAUGAAGGUCUUUGGAUCGUAAACUCCUGUCAGCAGGGAAAAAGGAAUUCGGCCUCAUACGUCGGAGACUUGAUUGUACCUGCAGAGGAAGCCCCGGCUAACUCUGUGCCAGCAGCCGCGGUAAUACAGAGGGGGCGAGCGUUAUUCGGAAUUAUUGGGCGUAAAGGGCGCGUAGGCGGCUUUUCAAGUGACGGGUGAAAUCCCUCGGCUUAACCGAGGAGCUGCCUGUCAGACUGGAAGGCUUGAGACCGGGAGAGGUGAGUGGAAUUCCCAGUGUAGCGGUGAAAUGCGUAGAUAUUGGGAGGAACACCAGUGGCGAAGGCGGCUCACUGGACCGGAACUGACGCUGAGGCGCGAAAGCGUGGGGAGCAAACAGGAUUAGAU
rnacentral:rRNA from 1 species